UCACAUGGUGACCAUCUCUGAACAGAGAAGAGCUCAGCCCCAGUACGGUCCUGAGACAUAAGACUUUACAAAGCUCCACGGAGUUGUCCUCUGUGCACUGCUAGACACAGGUUGCAUUAGUUUUUUCUUUAAUUGGCACAUCUAUUCCCUUGGCCUUGGAUUGUUGCCUUGGAGAUGCACAAGAGACCUUUGGAGAACUGCUUAUUACAGCAGCAGGUGUGCAUAGCGCUGACCUGGACAAGCCUGUGUGAGUCACCUGCCGAUGGUUUGGGUUGUAGGUGGCUGUGUGAGUCACUGAAAGCGAGGGGAUCCCACAGUGCCCGACUCCCGAAGGGCAGCAUUAAUGCCUUUGGGUGUUUGCUGUUAUUGUGCAUCAACAACAAAUAGGACAAGAUGGUUCACUCCUCUUCUUCCUCCUCAUUUGCUGACAAGGGCUGUGAAACAGCAUGGUGCUGCAGGGUAGGGCGCCUGAAUGUGAAAAGCAGCAGGACAAAUCGGAGGCCCUCUCUGGAAAUUCGGCUGACCUGUAGCUUUGCUGGUGGAGGAUGGUGAGGUCUGGAUGGGAAGGAACCAAGUUAGAAGAGCUGUUUUUGUGUGUGUUCAUGCAUGUGUGCACUUGUCUGGCCAGGAAGACUGACGGAGAAAGAAAAACAAAACAGGCCAGACUAAUACCCUGGCUCCCUAGAGAUUUGGGGUGAGAGGGAGUUUGGUAGUAUCAAGGAGGGUGGCCCUCUCCAUGCACGUGCCUAUAAGAGCAGACGCAGAGGGCAUUGGCCUGCUGUCUCCAGAGGAAAAAUGUGCUGCAUAGAAGAUGAGAUGGGCAGGAGCAGAGUGUGAUACUUCGUUAUCCAGAGAAGGAAGGGAUCUGACGGCCAGAUGAUGGUUUUUAGCAGUGCUUGUGCGUCUCUUGGUAGCUCAGUGCCUGGCAACUUCAAUAGCCGUGCAGAUCAACUGUAGGAACAUCACAUAUGGUCCAGAAAGCUGUUCGUGCGUUUCUUCCCUCUGCACUACUCCUGAUGACUGUUUGAGAUCAGACACAUCUCUCUCCUGAGCACCAAGCCAGGUGCCAGGCCUCACCCUGCUCCCGUCAGCCUGGGGAGAGGUGGGGGCCGUUCUGCAGCAUCAGGGAGGUGUGCUGCAAAAGCCCUCUAAAGGCACCUUCCCUUCAUAGGAAAGGACACACAGUGUGACAGCAUGGGACUGGUGACCCAUGAAUAAGCUGAAGAGGGCAUUUGCAAGAGGCCAAUUCUUCUUUAGAAAUUGCCCAGGUGCUUGUUCUGUGUGUGUAUAAUGUGUAUUUAUGGGAGUGAUCUAGUAUUCCUUCAUGAUUUUUUCAGCACUGUGGUUCCCCCUGCCAAGAUGGCUCAAAAGAGGCAGAAUUUAGAAACUUCAGGGCCACCUUUGAGGCAAAGCAGGGGAAUGUAUCAUAUAAUCUAUGCAGAGAUCCUGAAAAUGCUAAGUAAGCCCAGAUUUUAAGGAUUUUAGUGACUUUUCUCUAAUCAAAACCACCCUAAAAAUGGCCUGCUUGUCAUUUCCCAAAACUGCUGGACUGUUUCU